CCCCGAGGGGCCCGCUCGGGGAUGGGGGGACCCGGGGGGGACCCCGGCUCUGAGGAGGGGGGGGACCCGCGCCCUGGCAGGCGGCCGCCGGGCUAGGGGAGAGGGGUCGGCCUGCCUUGGCGGGCGGCCCUCGCUGGAAUGCUAAAAAUGUGCUAAUUGUGCCCGGCCAGCGGCCGCCGUGCCUCAGGGAUUAGAGCCACUCGUUCCUUCGUUAUCAGUGGCAGCGCUCCGUUCGGAUCGGUCUUGGCGAACUUUCCUGGUGUGAUGUCUCCGGGUAUCGAAUUCACCGACUUCUGGUUUGGAACUGCGGGGACAUUUUGUGUAAUGGAGAGCUCAGGAAGAUUCAAAAUGUAAAUUUUCUCCUCGUUAGCCAAAGUACCUUCCUGAGGUCCUGAGUCGAAAAUGACAAAACAGGAAAAAAAGCUCAAGAUUAAAGUCAAUAAUCUAGCAUGGGUGUGUAAACUUGCUAUCAAUGCCUCAGCAGAAAUAGUGUAGAGCGUUCACACGGUAAUGAAAAAUACAAAUGUUCCAGAAACUCAUCUAUACACAACAGCACGGAAAGCAUUCCCAAAUAAAAGAGAUUCCAGGUCUAACUCUGUAAAACAAAACUUUUUAAAAACUUGUAGCAAAUAAGCAUGAAACACAUCACAGUACUAGGAAACUUCCUUUUAUAAGAAAGGAAUCGUAUACUUUGGUAUUUUUGAUUGCUUAAUAUGCAAAGUUGGAUCGUAACUAUUACUCAAAUGUUACAUAAAGAAUGAAGUUGUGUGUAAGUGUAGCAGCUUUUACUCAACACAUGGUGCAAAUUGAUUAUCUCUUUUCUCUUGGUGCAGAAAUAGUCUUUCAACAAAUAGAGUCUGAAGAUGGUGAAAUAAGUCUUCAUGAAGUGUUACACAGAUAAGAUUAAAUGGUAUUUUUACAUCCUCCUGCUGA